rnacentral:rRNA from 1 species
CAGCAGCCACGGGAAUACGGAGGGCGCGAGCGUUACCCGGAUUUACUGGGCGUAAAGGGCGUGUAGGCGGCCUGGGGCGUCCCAUGUGAAAGGCCACGGCUCAACCGUGGAGGAGCGUGGGAUACGCUCAGGCUAGAGGGUGGGAGAGGGUGGUGGAAUUCCCGGAGUAGCGGUGAAAUGCGCAGAUACCGGGAGGAACGCCGAUGGCGAAGGCAGCCACCUGGUCCACUUCUGACGCUGAGGCGCGAAAGCGUGGGGAGCAAAUGGGAUUAGAUACCCCUGUAGUCCCUGUCUCUUAUAC